CAGGCUAGGCGUCAGAUCAGAGCAGCAGCUGCCAGCCUACACCACAGCCACAGCAACUGGGGAUCUGAGCUGUGUCUGCAACCUACACCACAGCUCGCAGCAACACCAAUCCUUAACCCACUGAGCGAGGCCAGGGAUCGAACCCAUAUCCUCAUGGAUCCUAAAUUACUGAGAACUGAAAAUUCCAUGAACUAAGAAAGUCUGGGAAACCUCCAGUGUAGAAUAUUCUUUGCCAGUAUAGAUGAUUUUCUUUUUCAUUAUACAAAACUGGACUCAUAAAGUGUCUGCAAUUUUAUAACCUGUUUUUUCCCCUCACAAUUUUGAGAAUACUUCUGCAUGUGAUUAAAUGCUUUCCUUUUACCAAACAUCCCAUUGUUAGAUUUUUUUCAAAAUUUCCCUUUUUAUACAUAUUGCUGCAUGAAUGUCUUUGUAAAUAAGGACACCACACUGCUGGGUCAAAAGACACUUAAUAUGUUUCCCACUUCCAAUAUGUGGCCAAGCAGCUUUCCAGAAAGGUCUUCUCUAUCCACACUCCAACAGUGUAUCAAAAUAGCAGUUAUUCUAUAGAUUGCCCAUCGUGUAUAAUAUCAUUUAAAAAAUACUUGCCAUUUAAUAGAUUAAAAAUGCUUUCUCAUUAUUGUUUUAAUAUAUUUCCUCAGUUGCUAAUGAGUUGGGAUAAUUUUGAUUUGUUUAUUGGCCACUUGUGGUUCUUUUGUGAAUUGCCUAUUCAUGUUCUCUGCUAAUUUUUCACUUGCAAAGCUUGUCUAUUCUGUAUUGAUUUGCAAGAGCCUCCAUCCAAUUUUAAUGAAAAGUUUAAAUCCUCGACGCAGCUGUCAGAACAGCUUAUGACUGCAGUUCUCUGCAGAUCUAAUUGUUUUAAUAAGUUCCACUAAUGACUCAGAGGCUAAUGAAGGUGUAGAUCUGAUUGAUGGAGCUUAGAAAAGCGAUGUAAUUAGAAGUUUCCUUUCCCAAUCAAAAGAGCAACUAUAUUUGUCAGUUCAACUUCCUACUUUUUUUUCCUAUUUUGAAAAAUACAUUUAAAUAUAUCCCACUAGUCUUAGCAGGGUGGUGAGAAGGGCAUGAGAACCAUGUCUGCCUGUUACAUAACCCUCCAAUUAAUUUAGGGUCUUAUUUCCUCUUUCAGUUUUCAUAUUUUGUCUUGAAAUAGGAAGUUGCAGAUCCUUGGGUUCGUAUCUGCUUUGGCUGCCUCCAGAACCAGGAGUGAGGCUGUCACCUAGCAACGAGCUCUCUGCUUAUAGAAACCUAAGCUGUGGCCAGCCAAGAGAGGAAAAUCACCCACUGGAAUGAAAAGUUUUAGCUUUCAACUCGAGAGCAGCCAGAAGCCCAGCACCAAGUGGGAUGCAAGAGCCAAGGCGUCGUCCCAGGGGAACCCCAGGCUCAUGGAGCCCUGAUGCAGAGUUGGAGUUGGGGGGUAGCUUUAAGUACGACGACCUUUGGGAGUUUUGUUCUCCACCCUGAGGGGUGACCAGAAGCUCGGUGCUUUCAACUUGGGUGCCACAACUCCUGAGUGAUCUGAUGCAGGUAGCUUAGGUUCUUGGAACCCCUGCUGCUCCUCAGUGGUCAGUACUGGGGGGCCACUAGGCUCAAGGCUUCCAUCAAAACUUUGGGCAUGAAGGAUGCUCCCUGGGGGUUCAGGCUUCAGGCCUACUGUCUGAAUUUGAGCAGGAAUGUGUAAAACCACCCAAGGGUUUCCCACACCAUGAGGCUAGGAGAUGAUAUUAACACUCCAGGGUGUUCUACAUCUCCGCAUCAGAAAUAGGGAAAAGCUGGAGCUGCUGAGGUUCUGAGGCAAGUAGGGGGCUCUGGCUGCUCGUCCCCAGUGUUGUAUUCCUACUGGCAAAUUGCCUAUUUAGUAGUCAUAGCAUCUUUCCUUGAAACAACAGCCCUCCUCUCCUAGACACUUACCUACAUUUCUCGUGGAUCCCCACUUUCUUAUUUUUCCUUCUCUUUCUCCAUGGGACUUGCUCUGGCCAUUGGAAUAUUUCUGAGCAUGUCAGGAGCAGAGGUCUUAAAUGUCCUGCAUGUGGUUUGGUUUGCUCUUCUGCCCUGUGCUACAAGAAGAUAAGCCCCAGGUAGCCUCAGGUCCAAGGAGAAUGAGGAGAUAGGUAUUACAUACUUGAACUUAGCUAUAGCCUGAAACAGAGGCAUCCUAGCCAGCUGCCAGGUCCAGAACAAGAGAAAUGAAAGGUUGUGAGUCACUGAUAUUCAAGGACUAUUUGUUGAGAGACUUUAUUGUAGCAAGACCUGACUAAUACACUGUCCAUUACUCUUACCAUUGUUUACUUCUAAGUGUCAUGGUUCCUGUAUUUUCUGAGACCUGGUUGGUCAGCUUUUCCUUCAUUUUUGCAGGCUUUAUCAUAUCCUCCUAAUAAAUUCUUCUCUCUGCUAAAGUUAGUUGGAAUUGAUUUCUGUGGCUUUUAACACAAUCAUGAUUGGUAGAGCUCAGCAGCCAAGUCUCUGCAGAGCUGCCCACUUCUUGGUCUAAAUUCAGAAGCUCUCUCAUAUGAUCUAAAUGCUUGAUUCCAGCCUUUUCCCACCAUCCUUUUCUUUUCCAGUGGCCUCUGCUGCAUCCAACUGAAAUAGUGCGUGCCCUAGACAAUGUCUAGGGGCUUUUCAUACAGUUGCUUUGCCUGAAACAUCCUCUUCCAUCCCCAAAUGCUGACGGCCUGUGCACCUCUCAGGACUCCACCCAAACACCAUGUCCUCUGUGAAGCCAUUCCUGGCUGUCUGGACACCCCCUCUCCCCCCUGCAAUACCGGAAGCAGUUGCCCCUAGUCUGAAGGGAGCUUACCUUCCUCUGUGAGCUGCUAUUUAUUGCCCUAUGUGGGGGGCAGGGUGGGGGGAACUCACUGAGGCCAUCACUCACCGAGGCCAUUGCUCGGCAGAAGCAGAAAGCCCAAGUCCUUUUCCAUCACACUCAUCCCUGUUAAUCACUUUUUAGCGACAUUUCAGAACACUUGAGAUUAGGGUCUAUUUUUGUAUCCAUGGUGUCAAGCUCAGGGCUCAGAACAAAGGUAAACUCUAAAGAGCUGUUGACCAUUUGAAUGCAGGCAUGAACAAAUGUCCCUCUUUUCUAGAAUCUCAGGCCAGAAUCACUGUGUAAUAGAAAUGCAUUUUUGGCCGAUGAUGUGUUUCCUUCAAUCCUUAGAUGGGACAUGGCUACCAUCUUAUUUACCCUGUCCAAGGAUAAAGUUGGAUCUGGAGUCAACCACAGGCCAAACGUUAUGGGAAAACAUCCAAAUGAAGUACCCACCAAUUAACAUUCACUCAACACUUCCUGCUGCUGUUGAGGGGACUGUGUUAUCCUGUGCUCAUAGCUUCAGUGUAUGUAACCCAUGAUACCGAGGUCAACUGUGGGGAAGCAGGAAGCCAAAACUCACACAGACAGUGAAGAGAAGGGUGGGAAUUAGAAGCCCAGACUCCAAAUUGUUAGUCCUCUAUUUCUUCCAAGGGGUAGAAGACCAGAAAGGGUCUGAGCUGGGUUUUUCCACUGGGUCUUCCUACACAGCCUGUCUCUGGGGAGGGCAUCAGCAUCCCCAUGCCAACCUCCACAGACACAAAGGCUGCUAUUCUGUGCCCAGGAGGAUUCUCAAAAUAAUAGCGCUGCCUGCCUCUGUGGGCUGGAGCCAGCUGUCUUGGUACACUCUGUUCCUGAAUUACAAUUUCCUGCUCUUUACUUGUGGUGAUAAUUGGUGUCACAGUAACUGGUCAGCCAUGCUGACUCCUAUCCUGGUAGCCAAGGCUUGAACAGGCAGGAGAGACAUCCAGGAUGGAAGGAACCAGGUGUCAUGUGAUGGGACCAACAGGACUUUUGGAGCCAGAAAGAUCUGAGUUCAAAUCCUGGCUCUGCCACUUGCUGGCCCUGUGGCCUCAUUUUCUCACUUGUAAAGUGGAAGUAAAAACAGCAUCCACCUUGGGGAGCUGACAUGAGGUGAAUAUUGUGUCUCACACACAAAAAGUGGUCAGUGAGUAUUAUCUUACUCUACAGGAUAAGAAGGAGGCCUGUCUUUGACUCGGGCCCCAGAAGCAGACCCUAAAUCAAGUUUAUUUAGGAGGUGAUCCUAGGAAACACCAGUAUGAGAAUUAGGUUAGGAAAUGUUUUAAAGUGUAGGCUCCCCUUGUGAACAAUUAAGUUCAGAGUUCAGCCCUUUGGGAUCUCUGGGAGACAGGUGGAACACACUACAGAUCCAGCAAAGGGUGAGAAAGUGGAAAUAUUUACUCACUCCAAAGACCGUCCACCAUUGGUUGAGGGCUUCUGAGUGGUGGGGCUAAUUUCCCAGCACAACUUGCUUCUUGUGCCAGUGGGCAUAAAUAGCCAGAGAAAGCCUUCUUAGGGUAGCAAGUUACAGCUGCUGGGAACUGAAUAUUACAGGGCUCAAGUGCAUGGGAAUGGUCAGGGCAGGCCACCCACAGUAUUUGCUUCAAGGGAACACAGCUCAACAGGAGAAGUCAAAUCUGUCAUAUCAAUUCUGAGCUUGUGCUAGAAUUAGGAUGCAAAACCUAAAAGUCAAGAGCUGGUGCAGUGGCCCUGGGAGGUAGGGAAUGAGUCAGGAAUGAGGUAAAGGGUCCUGGACAUUUGUCCAUAAACUGUCCUGGAGCCCCAAGCCCUAUGCUCCUGGGUGCUGGCCAUAGUGUGAGGCAGAUCAGUUUUUGCUCUGCCAGAAUGACCUGGGACUAUGUUGAGAUUUUUCCUCACUCUUUCAAAACAUAAGGGUCCCUGUUUCCCAUACAUACCCUCACUCAGCACUCAGUACCAGCUCUUUAGAUUCAUCCCAAACAUGAGAGCAGGGGUGUGUGAAUGUGUGUGUACAGGUCCUGGGAGGACUGUGGGGGGACGGCCACUUCUCUCAUCAAAUGAAGUGAUUUCAAACUGGGCAGAGCUGAAUAGCACAAUAGAGAUGGGCAACAUGGAAGGGCUGGAGAACAGAAUUAAGCAGCCCUGUGCUGGAGAAGGCGGCUGAGUUGUGUGUGACUCCUUCUGAGGCACAGCCUCCCUGAAAGGCCAGUGGGUAGCAGUAUUGGGAGAUGCCUUUUGCUGUGUGAGUCAAAUGUCAAAAAUUCCUACGGGGCUUGGAUUUGAAUGGAUUACUUGAGUUCCCUGAAUGCUUUGCAGAUAGAUUUACCAAAAAAGUGCUAGGCUUUGUGACUUCCCAAUGUAAGUAUAAUGAAAUGAGAGAGUAACAUCAAAAUGCCUCACCAUUCUCAUGGAA
rnacentral:lncRNA from 1 species